rnacentral:rRNA from 1 species
AUUGAACGCUGGCGGCAGGCCUAACACAUGCAAGUCGAACGAGUGGCGGACUGGUGAGUAAUGUCUGGGAAACUGCCUGAUGGAGGGGGAUAACUACUGGAAACGGUAUCUAAUACCGCAUACCAUCAGAUGUGCCCAGAUGGGAUUAGCUAGUUGGUGGGGUAACGGCUCACCAAGGCGACGAUCCCUAGCUGGUCGGAGGGGAUGACCAGCCACACUGGAACUGAGACACGGUCCAGACUCCUACGGGAGGCAGCAGUGGGGAAUAUUGCACAAUGGGCGCAAGCCUGAUGCAGCCAUGCCGCGUGUAUGAAGAAGGCCUUCGGGUUGUAAAGUACUUUCAGCGGGGAGGCGUUACCCGAAGAAGAAGCACCGGCUAACUCCGUGCCAGCAGCCGCGGUAAUUC